AAAUUGAAGAAAAAGUGUGGGAUUCCAAGGAAUUAAGCAAGGUGGUGAGCCAUUGCGUACGGGUAAAGGACUAUACCCGCAGACUGAAAAUAGAAGUAUUUCUACUCCUUAUACCGAUUAAGAGACAGCCGGUAACUAGGACGAGGUG